rnacentral:rRNA from 1 species
UAACGCGUGGGAACGUGCCCCAAAGUGAGGAAUAUCUGCCCGAAAGGGUAGCUAAUGCCGCAUAUGAUCUUCGGAUUAAAGUAUUUAUUACGCUUUGGGAGCGGCCUGCGUCCGAUUAGGUAGUUGGUGAGGUAAAGGCUCACCAAGCCCACGAUCGGUAGCUGGUCUGAGAGGAUGACCAGCCAGACUGGAACUGAGACACGGUCCAGACUCCUACGGGAGGCAGCAGUGAGGAAUCUUCCACAAUGGGGGAAACCCUGAUGGAGCAACUCCGCGUGCAGGAUGAAGGCCUUCGGGUCGUAAACUGCUUUUAUGAGUGAAGAAUAUGACGGUAACUCAUGAAUAAGGGUCGGCUAACUACGUGCCAGCAGCCGCGGUCAUACGUAGGACCCAAGCGUUAUCCGGAGUGACUGGGCGUAAAGAGUUGCGUAGGUGGUUAGUAAAGUGAAUAGUGAAAUCUGGCGGCUCAGCCGUACAGGCUAUUAUUCAAACUCACUAACUCGAGAAUGGUAGAGGUAACUGGAAUUUCUAGUGUAGGAGUGAAAUCCGUAGAUAUUAGAAGGAACACCAAUGGCGUACGCAGGUUACUGGACCAUUUCUGACACUGAUGCACGAAAGCGUGGGGAGCGAACCGGAUUAUAUUCCCGGGUAGUCCACGCCGUAAACGAUGGAAUACUAGCUGUU